ACACAUGCAAGUCGAACGCUCUCUUCGGAGAGAGUGGCAGACGGGUGAGUACGCGUGGGAAUCUACCCUGGGGAUGGGGAAUAACCGCUGGAAACGGCGCUAAUACCGCAUACGCCUGGAGAGGGAAAGCUAUAUGCGCCCUUGGAGGGCCCGCGUCUGAUUAGGUAGUUGGUGGGGUAAUGGGGUACCAGGGGCGAGAUCCGUAGCUGGUCUGCCAGGAUGAUCAGCCACAGUGGGACUGAAACAGGCCAAUACUCCUAUGGGAGGCAGCAGUGGGGAAUAUUGGACAAUGGGGAAACCCUGAUCCAGCCAUGCCGCGGUGCGUGAAGGACGGCCUCAGGGGUGUAAAGGGCCUUCGGGGGGGAAGAUCAUGAGAGGACCCGUCGAACACGGCCCGUUAUCUGCAGGGCCAUAAGGCGGGUGUAAUAGUCCCCUACUGAACCUCCGGUGGUCCUUGGGUGUUCGUGUAUGAGGGGAACA
rnacentral:rRNA from 1 species